rnacentral:rRNA from 1 species
GACGAACGCUGGCGGCGUGCCUAAUACAUGCAAGUCGAGCGAGGUUUUUCUGGUGCUUGCACCGGAAAAACUUAGCGGCGAACGGGUGAGUAACACGUAAAGAACCUGCCUCAUAGACUGGGACAACUAUUGGAAACGAUAGCUAAUACCGGAUAACAGCAUUAACUGCAUGGUUGAUGUUUAAAAGUUGGUUUUGCUAACACUAUGAGAUGGCUUUGCGGUGCAUUAGCUAGUUGGUGGGGUAAAGGCCUACCAAGGCGACGAUGCAUAGCCGACCUGAGAGGGUGAUCGGCCACACUGGGACUGAGACACGGCCCAGACUCCUACGGGAGGCAGCAGUAGGGAAUCUUCCGCAAUGGGCGAAAGCCUGACGGAGCAACGCCGCGUGAGUGAAGAAGGAUUUCGGUUCGUAAAGCUCUGUUGUUAGGGAAGAAUGAUUGUGUAGUAACUAUACACAGUAGAGACG